rnacentral:rRNA from 1 species
UACGUAGGGGGCAAGCGUUGUCCGGAAUCAUUGGGCGUAAAGCGCGUGUAGGCGGCUAGGUAAGUCUGCUCUGAAAGCCCGGGGCUCAACCCCGGGAGGCGGGUGGAUACUGUCUAGCUCGAGUCCGGAAGAGGAGUGUGGAAUUCCUGGUGUAGCGGUGAAAUGCGCAGAUAUCAGGAGGAACACCAAUAGCGAAGGCAGCACUCUGGGACGUGACUGACGCUGAGACGCGAAAGCGUGGGGGAGCAAACAGG